GAUGAACGCUGACAGAAUGCUUAACACAUGCAAGUCAACUGUGGCGGACGGGUGAGUAACGCGUAAAGAACUUGCCUCACAGAUAGGGACAACAUUUGGAAACGAAUGCUAAUACCUGAUACUGUGAGAGAGCUUUGCGUCCCAUUAGCUAGGGGGGGAGGUACCGGCUCACCAAGGCGAUGAUGGGUAGCCGGACUGAGAGGUUGGUCGGCCACAAGGGGACUGAGACACAGCCCGUACUGCUACGGGAGGUAGCAGUGGGGAAUAUAUGACAAUGGACAAAAGUCUGAUCCAACAAUUCUGUGUGCACGAUGAAGUUUUCGGAAUGUAAAGUGCUUUCCGUUGGGAAGCGGUACCAACAGAAGAAGUGACGGCUAAAUACGUGCCAGCAGCCGCGGUAAUUC
rnacentral:rRNA from 1 species